rnacentral:lncRNA from 1 species
CUUGGGGCAGACACCAGUGGACACAGAGGGACUGUGGAAGGAACAAAAGACUGGAAGGAACAGACACUUUAGAGGGGCUGCAAAAGAGCCAUAUAGGGGCUUCAACUAAACACAUUAGAUUUUAGUCGUGUCGAUUGAAGACUAAACUAAAUUUAAAUUAACACUGCACCUUUCUAAAGGCAAGAGUCUUUGGUACUUAGUAGAGCAUACUUUUGCUGUUAUUUCCUGCUUCUAAUAAAAUGCAUAGCCAGGCACAAGCUUCUGGCAGUGUAACUGAGGAAUAUUAGCCCAUUGCUCAUGAGCAAUGGCCUCCAAUGCAGUAAUAUUCUUGGGUUUGUGUGCUGUAACCGCUUUCUUCAAAUAUCACCAGAGAUCUUCAUAUCCGUUGACUGUGAUGCCCACUGUAGGACUUCUUCUGCAACCAAGCCUUGGUAGAAUUUGAGGUAUGCUUGGGAUUAUUGCCUUGUUGGAAGGUCCAAUGACACCCAAGCUUCAGCUACCUCACAGACAGCAUGACAUUUUCUCCUAGGAUUUCCUGAUACUUUAGUGAAUCCAUCUUGCCUUCCACACAAUGCAGGUUUCAGUGCCAGAGGAUGCCAAGCAGCACCAGAUCAUCACUGAGCCACCACCAUGCUUAACUGAAGGCAGUGUUCUUUUCAGUGUAUGCGUUACUCUUUUUUUAUUUUUUCCAGACAUGCCACUGAUUCAUUGGGCCAAAAAGCUCCAGUUUUGUUUUAUCGCUCCACAGAACAGGAAUCCCCAAAUCUCUGUGGUAUAUUUAUGAUUUUGAGCAUAUUGGAGCCGACUAUUCUUGUGCUUUUGUGUCAGUAAUGAUGUACGUCAUGGAGUUUUGGCAUGGAAAUCUUCUGUGUUUACUACGCGCCUUACUGUGCUCUCUGAAACCUGAGUGUCUGUUGCUGCUAAGUCUUACUGCAGGUCUUUUGCAGUCACUCAAGGUUUUUUUUCACAAACUGCCUUCUCAGAAUUCUGGUUGCAGGCAUUGAUGGUUUUCUUUUUCUGCACUCUCCACAUAAUGUAACCACUGUUCCUUCAACUUUGAACUUGCAAACUAUGCUUCCAACUGUGUCUCUAGGAACAUUUAGUGCCUUCGCUAUCUUUUUGUAUCCUGUUCCUUGUUUGUAAAGGGCGACCUCUUCCCUUAACCUUGUGGACCAUUCUUUUGACUUGGCCCUAUUUCUAACAUGCAGUCAAACGUGACAAUCAACAACCCCUUAGCCAGUUGAGAUCAUCCGUGAUGAUAACCUCAGCCAUUCCAGUAGUUCCACAUCUGUGUGUCUAUUUUGGGGUUCCAGCUCAAGCACACUUGGUACAACUUAUUAAGCCCUUGAUUAGUUGCAUCAGGUGUGGUUGAGACAACACCUGAUUUGCAUAUCCAUGCCAUUGUGAGGGGUUCUAUUCCAACUGGUUUUAAACCAUUUUUUUAAAACCUGAUUUUCAAUGGGGGUUGAAUAAUUUAGAUUUUUUAAAACUAAAUGUCUUUGAGAUACUACUUUGGCCACAAGUCAGUUUGUAAAAUUUCUGUCUAAUUAGAUAUUCUCCGUUAAACUGUUAUCAUUAUGAAAUGGAGGAUUCUAGAAGCAACAGCAGCCCAACAAGUUCCAAGCCAUGUAUACCCACACUGGGGGUAUUGAGUGUUAAGUAGCAUUUAAUUUUUUUUAAAUCACUUAACUGUUGCAUCACUCAUUGAAAGCAACAUCAGCACAAGAACUGAGCAGCCAGAGCUUCAUGAAAUGGAUUUCCAAGGCCAAGCUGCUGUAUACAACCCUUGCUAAAAAAAAACAGGUGCACCAUGAUGGGGGAGAGAGAAUAAAAAACAUCUUCUUUAAUUUUCAAACUGACCUUUCAGCAGUGUGUUUACUUAUUUGUCCCCCUGCUCUGUUAAUUUAACUUUGAUUUCUCACACACACACUUCUUGCUCAAGCAGGCAACAGAGCAG